AGCGAACGCUGGCGGCAGGCCUAACACAUGCAAGUCGAACGAAGUCUUCGGACUUAGUGGCGGACGGGUGAGUAACACGUGGGAACGUGCCUUUAGGUUCGGAAUAACUCAGGGAAACUUGUGCUAAUACCGAAUGUGCCCUUCGGGGGAAAGAUUUAUCGCCCUUAGAGCGGCCCGCGUCUGAUUAGCUAGUUGGUGGGGUAAUGGCCCACCAAGGCUACGAUCAGUAGCUGGUCUGAGAGGAUGACCAGCCACAUUGGGACUGAGACACGGCCCAAACUCCUACGGGAGGCAGCAGUGGGGAAGCUUGCGCAAUGGGCGGAAGCCUGACGCAGCCAUGCCGCGUGGAUGAUGAAGGUCUUAGGAUUGUAAAAUCCUUUCACCGGUGAAGAUAAUGACUGUAGCCGGAGAAGAAGCCCCGGCUAACUUCGUGCCAGCAGCCGCGGUAACAC
rnacentral:rRNA from 1 species